rnacentral:rRNA from 1 species
GACGAACGCUGGCGGCGUGCUUAACACAUGCAAGUCGAACGGAAAGGCCCUGCUUUUGUGGGGUGCUCGAGUGGCGAACGGGUGAGUAACACGUGAGUAACCUGCCCUUGACUUUGGGAUAACUUCAGGAAACUGGGGCUAAUACCGGAUAGGAGCUCCUGCUGCAUGGUGGGGGUUGGAAAGUUUCGGCGGUUGGGGAUGGACUCGCGGCUUAUCAGCUUGUUGGUGGGGUAGUGGCUUACCAAGGCUUUGACGGGUAGCCGGCCUGAGAGGGUGACCGGCCACAUUGGGACUGAGAUACGGCCCAGACUGCUACGGGAGGCAGCAGUGGGGAAUAUUGCACAAUGGGCGGAAGCCUGAUGCAGCAACGCCGCGUGCGGGAUGACGGCCUUCGGGGUGUAAACCGCUUUCGGCUGUGACGAAGCGUGAGUGACGGUAAUGGGUAAAGAAGCACCGGCUAACUACGUG